rnacentral:rRNA from 1 species
UACGUAGGGUGCGAGCGUUAAUCGGAAUUACUGGGCGUAAAGCGUGCGCAGGCGGUCUGUUAAGACCGAUGUGAAAUCCCCGGGCUUAACCUGGGAACUGCAUUGGUGACUGGCAGGCUUUGAGUGUGGCAGAGGGAGGUAGAAUUCCACGUGUAGCAGUGAAAUGCAUAGAGAUGUGGAGGAAUACCGAUGGCGAAGGCAGCCUCCUGGGCCAACACUGACGCUCAUGCACGAAAGCGUGGGGAGCAAACAGG